rfam:Dethiosulfovibrio salsuginis strain TSBA 82 genome assembly, contig: Ga0105850_122
CGUAUUUUCGAUAUGCCGUCGUGUAGUCGAAUGGGGCGACAGGACGUCGCCCCAAGCCGAGGGGGCACAGGACGUGCCCUCCGAGGCGGUUCGUACGAAACAGGCAGAUCGAAAAUACG